rnacentral:piRNA from 1 species
UGNGUUGCUGAUUUUACUCACAGCUGGUGAC